rfam:Emmonsia pasteuriana TAMH 9510 supercont1.232, whole genome shotgun sequence.
CCGCUGGUCGUCUAGUUGGUUUAUGGCACUGGACUGUAAUAUCAUGAUCUGCUAUCCAGGUGUCGUCGGUUCGACUCCGACCCAGCGGA